rnacentral:lncRNA from 10 species
UCAAUUACCUGAUCUAGCAUUUGCUCCUGAUGACUUAGUGCAGAAAAGCUCUGUAACUCAGUUUCCCCAACUGUAAAAUGGGGAAUGGCACCUUUACUGGGCUGCCAUGAGGGUAAAGGAGGUAACAUAUAUUUAUGAAGCAUUCAGAUUAUCAUCAUCUUGCUGUUUCCAAUGGGUACGCUUUCUACAUUCUCUUUCUUAAAGACCUUUAAAUCCUCGGUAUUCUCUCCACCACCACCGAGAGCAGUGUCCUUGUAGUUUAAAUUCUCAAAGACUUCAUGGAUUCAACAAGCAUGACAUUAACUAAGGGACAGUUUUCUUUCAGUGGAUUGGAACCUAAAAUGGCUUUUUUAUUGUUAUUAUUUUUCAGAGAAUUAUAAUGUGUUUCAACAAAGGCAGCCGUGGCUUUGAUAAUGUCCUCAUGGAUAUGAGACCAUAUUCAGAGCUUUCGGGCCAGAUUUCAAGAGGAAUCGCCUGGCCGAGCCUUUUAAUGGCAUCCACAUCUACCCAUUCAUGUGUAAGCUCCUGGGAGUCACCCCCAAACCCACAACAGCUCCCUGGCAGUCACCCAGGAAAUGCUCGUGAACUCCUAUGUCCAGCAGCCAGGAGCGGAGGUACAGAUGGCAUCUGCUCUGCAAGGUGCAGUGAUCGGGUUCAGCAUUGUCACAGGAGCUCUUGCGGUUCUGUUUGUUGCUAGUGUGACAUACACAGCCAUUCAUCGGAAAAAGGACUGAGUGGGCUUUGGGUCUCCUGUAGUUGAUCAUUCAUAUGAUAACCCAUGACAACUCCUUGCCACAUGCCACAGGAGGUCCAGCACUCCAAGAACCCAGCAGCCAGGGCCAGCUUCAUGGGUUUGCAACCUGGACAGUCCCACAGGGACACAGAAGAGUCCCCACUGUGGUUUAAUAAUCUGCCAUCACCAUCUUGAAAUUCUUUAUUUUUUAACAAGGGUGGCCAGGGAUAGUGGCUCAUGUCUGUAAUCCUAGCACUUUGGGAGGCCAAGGCAGGCAGAUGGCUUGAGCCCAAGGAGUUUGAGACCAGCCUGGGCAACAUAGCAAGAUCCCAUCUCUACAGAAAAUACAAAAAUUAGCCAAGCGUGUAGUCCCAGCUACUUGGAGGCUGAGAUGGGAAAAUUACCUGAGCCCAGGGAGGUCGAGGCUGCAGGAGCUGAGAUUGUACCACUGCACUCCAGCCUGAAUGACACAGAGGGAUCUUGUCUAAAAAAAUAACCACAAGGCCGGGCGUGGGGGCUCAUGCCUAUAAUCCCAGCACUUUGGGAUGCUUAGGCGGGCGGAUCACUUGAGGUCAGGAUUUUGAGACCAGCCUGGUCAACAUGGUGAAACCCCAUCUCUACUAAAAAUACAAAAAUUAGCUGGACAAGGUGGCGCAUGCCUGUAAUCCCAGCUACUCAGGAGGCUGAGGCAGGAGAAUUUCUUGAACCUGGGAGGAGGUGGUUGUAGAGAGUCGAGGUCGCGCCAUUGCACUCCGGCCUGGGGCACAAGAGUGAAACUCCGUCUCCAGAAAAAAAAAAAAAAACAACCACAACAACAACGAGGGCCCCGCAUGUGGCUGAAAACAACAGAAAUGUAUUGUCUCGCAGGCCUGAAUGCUAGAAGUCCAAAAUCAGGGUGUCAGCCGGGCUUCGCUUCCUCUGAAACAUGCAGAGAGCUGAUCAAAACAGCAAAAGCAAAGCAGUGCCCCUGGCCCAGUUCUGAAGCCAACCUUCCUUAACCACGCAGACCCAUCCCUGGUUAGGACUUGCUGUGGAUUCUCAGGUGACUCCAUCUCAGGAUACAGGGACUGAGAGGGUAUAUGCAAUAUCUCAGACCCAGAAACCGUUGAUUCUGUCUAAAAGCACAGCAAUAACCACAUCCCACCCUCUUGAUUUAAAUGAAAGUGUUUGGGAGAAUAAAAGAUGAACCUUUUUUUUCUUUGUCAGAUCUUGCGCUCAUUUGGUUCUGGUGGGGAACAACAGCUAUGAGAGAACAAGUGUAUUCAAUUAGAAUUAAUUCCCCU